AAAGUGGCAGACGACGAAUGUGACAGCAGAUGUAAUGGUAACUGUAGACAAGCGUGCGGUGGGGAGCACGCUAUUUCAGUUUACAAGACAGGCUAUAUCCGAGAACCUAUUAUCGCUAUAGACCAGAGAGAUCUCUAUAAAGCCAAGAUUGGUUGCUACGACAAAACGUCUUCUGGAAAAAUCCUCUGCCCGAAAGACUUCGCGCCAAUACGUACAGUCAGGAUGUCCGUGCCUCUAUGUCUCUACUACUGUGAUUCUAUUUACUCAGCCAAAUUUGGGACCC
rnacentral:sRNA from 1 species